GUGGGUAUAGCUCAGUGGUAAAGAGCAUGCUUAGCAUGCAUGAGGUCCUGGGUUCAGUACCUAGUACCUCCA
rfam:Camelus ferus unplaced genomic scaffold scaffold2641, whole genome shotgun sequence.